rnacentral:tRNA from 1 species
GGGUGAACGGCACGGAUUGUGCGACUUGGUUUCGGCCCAAGAAGAAAGGGUGAAACUCCCUUUUCACCUG